UACGAAGGGGGCUAGCGUUGCUCGGAAUCACUGGGCGUAAAGGGUGCGUAGGCGGGUCUUUAAGUCAGGGGUGAAAUCCUGGAGCUCAACUCCAGAACUGCCUUUGAUACUGGUCGUCUCGAGGGAGGUAGGGGUGUGUGGAACUCACAGUGGAGCGGUGAAAUGCGUUGAUAUUGUGAGGAACGCCGGAGGCGAAAGCGACGCACUGGACCUCUUCUAACGCUGAGGCGCGAAAGCCAGGGGAGCAAACGGG
rnacentral:rRNA from 1 species